rnacentral:tRNA from 1 species
UCCUCCUUAGCUCAGCUGGUUAGAGCAUCUGACUGUUAAUCAGAGGGUCCUUGGUUCGAGCCCAAGAGGAGGAGC